rnacentral:rRNA from 1 species
GAUGAACGCUGGCGGCGUGCCUAAUACAUGCAAGUCGAGCGAACGGACGAGAACCUUUCUUCUCUGAUGUUAGCGGCGUACGUGUUAGUAACACGUGUAUAACCUCCCUAUAAGACUGGGAUAACUUCGUUAACCCGUACCUAAUACCGUAUGAUAUUUUGAACCGCAUGGUUCAAAAGUUAAAGACGGUCUUGCUGUCACUUAUAGAUGGAUCCGCGCUUCAUUAGCUAGUUGGUAAGGUAACGGCUUACCAAGGCAACGAUGCAUAGCCGACCUGAGAGGGUGAUCGGCCACACUGGAACUGAGACACGGUCCAGACUCCUACGGGAGGCAGCAGUAGGGAAUCUUCCGCAAUGGGCGAAAGCCUGACGGAGCAACGCCGCGUGAGUGAUGAAGGUCUUCGGAUCGUAAAACGCUGUUAUAAGGAAAGAAAAGACGUGUAAGAAAAUGUGAAGAUCAUGACGGUACCGAAUCAGAAAGCAACGGCUAACUACGUG